rnacentral:rRNA from 1 species
GACGAACGCUGGCGGCGUGCUUAACACGUGCAAGUCGAGCGAUGAACCUCCUUCGGGAGCGGAUUAGCGGCGGACGGGUGAGUAACACGUGGGUAACCUGCCUCAUAGAGGGGAAUAGCCUUCCGAAAGGAAGAUUAAUACCGCAUAAGAUUGUAGUACCGAAUGGUACAGCAAUUAAAGGAGUAAUCUGCUAUGAGAUGGACCCGCGUCGCAGUAGCUAGUUGGUGAGGUAACGGCUCACCAAGGCGACGAUGCGUAGCCGACCUGAGAGGGUGAUCGGCCACAUUGGGACUGAGACACGGCCCAGACUCCUACGGGAGGCAGCAGUGGGGAAUAUUGCACAAUGGGGGAAACCCUGAUGCAGCAACGCCGCGUGAGUGAUGACGGUCUUCGGAUUGUAAAGCUCUGUCUUCAGGGACGAUAAUGACGGUACCUGAGGAGGAAGCCACGGCUAACUACGUGCCAGCCGCCGCGGUAACAC